CAGAGGAGGGAGAGAGGUUUGGCUAUUUUGGGAAUAUUUCAAAGGAGAAAGAGAAGGAAGGGAUGGGAGCCCGCUGCUGUGCUGCUGCUGCCGUCUACCAUUCCAUGGAAGGCUGAUCUCCUCACUAGGGCUGGAUGCAGCCCUAACAAAGGGCCAAGGGUUUUAUAUUUUUGAUUUCUAUUCUUGAAGUUGUAUAAACCUUAUUUUGCUUCUAAUGAAUAUUUUAUUUCAUCUCAUAUUUAAUUUCUGUGAUUUUAAAUGUGAAGUUUAU
rnacentral:lncRNA from 1 species